UACGUAGGGAGCAAGCGUUGUUCGGAUUUACUGGGCGUAAAGGGCGCGUAGGCGGCAAUUCAAGUCAGCUGUGAAAUCUCCGGGCUUAACUCGGAACGGUCAGCUGAUACUGCUUUGCUAGAGUGCGGAAGGGGCAAUCGGAAUUCUCGAUGUAGCGGUGAAAUGCGUAGAUAUCGAGAGGAACACCUGAGGUGAAGACGGGUUGCUGGGCCGACACUGACGCUGAGGAGCGAAAGCGUGGGGAGCGAACAGG
rnacentral:rRNA from 1 species